ACAGGCCACAGUACGUCAGGCUGAAGGACAUCACGUCUGACACUGUGGUCAGCAGUACUGGAGCCCCCCAGGGUACAGUGCUGGCCCCUCUUCUCUUCACCCUGUAUAUCUCAGACUUUUGCUACAACUCUGAGCUAUGUCAUCUACAGAAGUACGCAGAUGACACAGCCAUCGUUGGGUGUAUUAGGGGUGACAGAGAGGAGGAGUAUCGGAGUCUGGUGGGGGACUUUGCUCUCUGGUGCCACACUAACCGGCUACAGCUCAACGCCUCUAAGACAAAGGAGCUGGUCAUUGACUUUGGAAGAUCCAGACCAAGUCCGAGACCAGUCCUGCUAGACGGAGCUGAGGUGGAGGCUGUGAAUUCCUACAAAUACCUCGGGGUCUGGCUGGAUAAUAAACUGGACUGGAAAACACACACCAGCUACCUGUAUGGGAAGACACAAAGCAGGUUGUACUUCCUGAGGAGAUUGCGGUCAUUCAACAUCUGCAGCAAAUUGCUGUGGAUGUUUUACAAGUCUGUGUGGUUGCCAGCGUCCUCUUCUACACUGUGGUGUGCUGGGGAGGCAGCAUAAACAAGAGAGACACCUCCAGACUGGAUAAACUGAUCAGGCGGGCUGGCUCUGUGGUCGGCAUGAAGCUGGACCCACGGGUGACGGUGGCAGAGAGGAGGACACUGGACAAACUGCUGGACAUUAUUGACAAUGCCAGCCACCCCUUGCACACUGUCAUCAGCAACCAGAGGAGCCUGUUCAGUGGAAGGCUGCUCCUUCCCAAACUACUGGACAAUCAAUUUCCUUGAGGGAGUCAUCCCAAAAGGAUCAAUGAAGCCUAAUCGAAUCAAAUCUAGAUCACCCUGGAGGCGGUUGGACAACUUGGUCUCUCAGAGCACAGCUGUAGCUGUGCUGCGGGCAAAGGCUUCUGUAGCCAUGUAACCGCUCUGCUCUUCCAGACAGCGCAUUAUGUGCAGCUGGGCCUUGACGUGGUUCCACCUUCCAUGGUCUGUACCAGCCAACCACAGAUGUGGCCUCGACCUAGAACACAGGGAAUCCAUCCAGAGGCUGUGAGUGACCUUGUGGUGAAAAAACCCAAGUCGGUGGGGAAGAGUCCACACUCUACAGAGCGUAUGCUGGGCCCAUAACAGAACACAUCUUGGCGUCUGGCAUCAGUCUUCAUUACCAUUCAUUAGUAUUCACCCUUUAUUUUUAUUGUAUUGUUAUUCUGUAUAUUUAAGUUUAUUUCUAUUUAUUAUUAAUUUAUUUAUUUGUACUGUUUUCUGUUUUUCUUUUUUAUAUAUUAACUAUAGGUUAAAUGUUGAGC
ensembl:lncRNA